UCUUCUUGUUUCAAGGUUCCAUUUUUUCAGACUUUGUCACAUGUCUUUCAACUCUGUAGCGGCUUUGACUGAGAGAUUCAUUUCCUGAUCUAAACCCUAUCAGUCGUGUGCUAGGGUUUAUCUCUCACUUCCCUUUUCGAGAUUCCAGACAAUUUCAUACAAAGAGAUGAGUACUCACAACAAGCGGUUCAAUGGCGGAGACGAUUUCCCGCAGGAGGAAAAGGAGAAGUGUUGGGAGAACGCAAAGGUUGUCCCUGGAAUGAAAAAAGAUAGAUGGCGCCUAGAUGUCCAAGAAAACCCGGUUUGUAAGGCCUUAAAACAAGGUUUUCUUGGAUCAUAUUGCUACGAGUUUCAUGCCAUUGAUAAAGACAAGGAACUGACUGCUGAAAACUGUCAGAUUCUGUCUGCCCCUGCAGCCCGAGGGUUGAAGCCAGAUACCUUACGCAACAAGAUAUGAAGGUUGUUGAAAUAGCUCUCUACAAUGACAGUGGAAGCAGUGAAGAGAAGUGAUGACGAUCCAGAACCUAUAACAUGUUGUGCUUGUGCCACUUGAG